rnacentral:rRNA from 1 species
AGAGUUUGAUCAUGGCUCAGGAUGAACGCUGGCGGCGUGGAUAAGGCAUGCAAGUCGAACGGACUUUUCUUGUUCAAAGAUUGAGAUUACAUCAAGGUUGGAGAUUUUGAAAAGUUAGUGGCGAACGAGGUAGUAACACGUGGGUAUUUCCCCCUAAGUCGCGAAUAAUCCGGAGAAAUCCGGACUAAUACGCGAUGGUCUCGAAAGAGUAAAGAUUUAUCGCUUAGGGAAAAGCCUGCGGAGUAUCAGCUAGUUGGUAGUGUAAUGGACUACCAAGGCUAUGACGCUUAGGGGAGCUGAGAGGCUGACCCCCACCGAUGGGACUGAGACACGGCCCAUACACCUACGGGUGGCUGCAGUCAAGAACCUUCCACAAUGGACGAAAGUCUGAUGGAGCGACGCCGCGUGAUUGAUGAAGUCCCUCUGGGACGUAAAGAUCUUUUAUGAGGGAAGAAGUUUAUUGACGGUACCUCAUGAAUAAGGGGCUCCUAAUCUCGUGCCAGCAGGAGCGGUAAUACGAGAGCCCCGAGCGUUAUCCGGAAUUAUUGGGCGUAAAGGGUGUGUAGGUUGCGUUGUUAGUCGUCCGUUAAAUCUCUGGGCUUAACCCAGAAAUCGCGAACGAAACGGCAAUGCUAGAGAUUGUGAGAGGUUUGCGGAACUCAUGGUGUAGGGGUGAAAUCCGUUGAUAUCAUGGGGAACACCAAAAGCGAAGGCAGCAAACUGGCGCAAUUCUGACACUGAAACACGAAAGCGUGGGUAGCGAAUGGGAUUAGAUACCCUAGUAGUCC